UAUACUUUAUAUAUAAACCAUUGUUUUUUUAAUAGUAAAAGAUCAUAAUUACUAAUAAGUAUGGCUGUUUCCGAGAGAUGAGGCAGAGGCAGGAAGGUCAUUGAGAAGUUAAAGAGAAAGCCCAGAUAAUGGAAGUGGCGUGAUAUUCAAUUCAGGUUUGGGUUGUCUGUGGGAAUACUCUCUGUGCAGGUUAAUAGCUUGAAGGAUUGAAUUUCUGCUCUAUAAUACAUUUAACCUUAUCAUCUUUUAUCCUUUGUGGGUAUUAUGGCCGAUCAUCCAUCAGUGUGGUAUGGUUGUGUGGGAGUGAAAGGCUUGACUUCCCUCGUUUUUUUGUGAUGCCAUUUCUUCACCUCAAGACGUACUGAUUACGAGGCAAGCUGAAGCUAAGUUUUCUAAUUGAAUAGAAACGAAGAAUUUACAACCAAAUGGUUCAAUAACCAGAGAUUCGUUCUGGAUUGUUCAACCUUGCCAUGUAGAUGCUGCCUGCCAAACUGACGACGAUAUUGAAUAAUUAUCCGACUGCCAGCCAGACAAAACAAAGUCAUGCAUGCAUGCAUCAUCAAUGGUCUUAAUAACCUGGAGCCUCUCUUAGUUCGUCAAAUCCUCCUGUCUGCUUGUAACUACCAUAGAAGAAUUGAUCAAUAUGUCCAUAAUAUCCUUGACCAUUUGCGACUUCCAGAUCCAUUCACAUGGGGUUGCACUGUUAGAUAUUUCUCGCAGCAAGGCCAAUUCAAGGAAGCCUUUAAUCUCUGUGCUCAGAUGCAGAGACAAGGGUUGUGUCAAGCGCAUUUGAUGUAUCCUCUGCUUAAUGGCGUAUGCUAGGACCUUUUACAAGAUGGUUGGAAUAUUGAUCCACGCUCAAAGUUAUAAAUAUGACUCUCUAGCUGUGUUUAUGCUCAAACAGCCCUUGUGGAUUUAUAUAUAAAACUGGGUGAUAUGAGCACUGCACAGAAGGUUUUUGAUGAGCUGGCGGAGAAGAAUGUAGUCUCAUGGAAUUCAAUUUUAUCUGGGCAUCUGAAAUCUGGGGAUUUACUAGAGGUUCAGUGGGUGUUUGACCAGAUUCCAAGGAAAGAUAUCAUAUCCUGGAAUUCAAUGAUAUCAGGGUAUGCAAAAAUAGAGGACAUGGACCGUGCAUUGUUUUGUUUCAACAGAUGCCAGAGAAAAACUAUUUUCUUGGAAUGCAUUCAUUAGUGUGUACGUUGAUUUUGGGAACAUAGAAUCAGCACGGAGAUUCUUUGAUGCAAUGCCCCAAAGAGACUGUUUCCUGGAUCACAAUGAUUGUUGGGUGCUCAAAAUGUGGAGAUGUUGUUUUAUCAGAUAGCUAAGAAGGAUCUGCUUACGUUUAAUGCCGUGAUAUCUUGCUUUGCUCAGAAUAGCCAACCGAAGAAGGCCUUUCAGUUGUUUAGCGAGAUGGUUUAAGCUUAUGCAAAUAUUCAGCCAGGUCAGAUUGACUUUGGUGAGUGUUGUAACAGCUUGUUUACAACUGGGGGACAGGAGAUUUGCGUCAUGGCUAGUCAUAUGUAAAUGAUAUUGGAACAGAUAUUGAUGACCCGUUGGUUACUGCUUUGCAUUACCUAUAUGCAUAGUGUGGGAGUGUUGAACAGGCAUAUGAUCUAUUUCAUGGCCUAAACAAUAAGGUUGCGGUUGCAUAUAGUGCAAUGAUCUCGGGAUGUGGCAUGAAUGGAAAGGUUGCCGAUGCCAUCAAGUUGUUGGAAAUGAUGGUGGACACCCAAACUCGUCUGAAUUUAGCUACCUUUACAGGGCUAUUUACAGGCAUGUAACCAUGCCGGUCUGGUUGAAGAGGGCUACCGAUUCUUUAGUUCCAUGAAGGACCAUGACCUGUACCUUCAAUUGAUCAUUAUGUAAUCAUGGUCACUCUUUUAGGGAGAGCUGGAAGAUUACAAGAGGCAUGUGAGCUGACCAUGCCAAUGCAGCCUCAUUCUAGGGCCUGGGGGACUUUGCUGCUUGCCUGCAGCGUGCAUAACAAUGUUGAGUUUGGAGAAAUUGCAGCUCAGCGUCGUUUUGAUUUGGAGCCUAAUGCAACUGCUUAUUAUUCUCUUCUUGCCAACAUUCAUUCCUCUGCUGGAAGGUGGGAUGAUGUCAGGAGAUUGAGGAAGUUGUGGAAAGAGAAGAAACUGUCCAAGUUAUCAGGGUGUAGUUAGAUAGAAUCAACGUAUAACCCUUUGAUAAUUGAAGGAUCAGAUGCUAGUCUGCUCCAAAUCUAGUUUUGGGAUGGCAAAUUAAUUCGAUUAUCAUGAAUCUGCUUCGAGUUUUAAAAUGCCUCAAGGCUUCAUCAGGGAGGCCAAUUCUGAUAUUAUGAAGGCUAAGAUUGACUUGGAAAAGGCAAAUUCUGGUACGAUAUGAAAUAUAAAGUUGAUUGGGAGAAGAUGAAUAUUUUCCCAGCUUCAUUAUCCUGAAAUUGUGGGCUGGGAUGUUCUUAUUUUCCAGUGGAUCAUACUCAGCAUGGCAAGGUCAUAUAAUGUCUGUAAACAUGUCCACUUUAUGGAUGGUUCACGAACAGCGGCAUGAUUAUAUACCCAUGUUUUCUUUAUCCUUUGGUUAAUUCUUUGUCCGCACAAGGUGCACUGAUUUUCUCCGAAUAAAUCAUUUCUUUUC